rnacentral:rRNA from 1 species
AUUGAACGCUGGCGGCAUGCCUUACACAUGCAAGUCGAACGGUAACGGGCCUUCGGGUGCCGACGAGUGGCGAACGGGUGAGUAAUACAUCGGAACGUGCCCGAUCGUGGGGGAUAACGAGGCGAAAGCUUUGCUAAUACCGCAUACGAUCUACGGAUGAAAGCAGGGGACCGCAAGGCCUUGCGCGGACGGAGCGGCCGAUGGCAGAUUAGGUAGUUGGUGGGAUAAAAGCUUACCAAGCCGACGAUCUGUAGCUGGUCUGAGAGGAUGAUCAGCCACACUGGGACUGAGACACGGCCCAGACUCCUACGGGAGGAAGCAGUGGGGAAUUUUGGACAAUGGGCGCAAGCCUGAUCCAGCCAUGCCGCGUGCAGGAUGAAGGCCUUCGGGUUGUAAACUGCUUUUGUACGGAACGAAAAGCAUUCUUUUAAUACAGGAGGGUCAUGACGGCACCGUAAGAAUAAGCACCGGCUAACUACGUG